rnacentral:rRNA from 1 species
CCAAGGAGUCUAACAUGUGCGCGAGUCACUCGGUCUUGAAUAGGCCAGAGAGGCGCAAUGAAAGUAAAGUUGAUUGAGUUACGAUCCUCAUGCCGGUUAUCCGUAGCGGUAACGGUGAGGCGCAGUAACAGCCCGCCAAUUUCGCUUAUUGACGAUCUGGCGGAGUUGUAGCGUACACGUUGGUACCCGAAAGAUGGUGAACUAUGCCUGGGCAAGACGAAGCCAGAGGAAACUCUGGUGGAGGUCUGUAGCGAUUCUGACGUGCAAAUCGAUCGUCAGACCUGGGUAUAGGGGCGAAAGACUAAUCGAACCAUC